rnacentral:rRNA from 1 species
CGGCAAAAGCUCAAAUUUGAAAUCUGGCUCUUUCAGAGUCCGAGUUGUAAUUUGAAGAAGGUAUCUUUGGGUCUGGCUCUUGUCUAUGUUUCUUGGAACAGAACGUCACAGAGGGUGAGAAUCCCGUGCGAUGAGAUGAUCCAGGCCUAUGUAAAGUUCCUUCGAAGAGUCGAGUUGUUUGGGAAUGCAGCUCUAAGUGGGUGGUAAAUUCCAUCUAAAGCUAAAUAUUGGCGAGAGACCGAUAGCGAACAAGUACAGUGAUGGAAAGAUGAAAAGAACUUUGAAAAGAGAGUGAAAAAGUACGUGAAAUUGUUGAAAGGGAAGGGCUUGAGAUCAGACUUGGUAUUUUGUAUGUUACUUCUUCGGGGGUGGCCUCUACAGUUUAUCGGGCCAGCAUCAGUUUGGGCGGUAGGAGAAUUGCGUUGGAAUGUGGCACGGCUUCGGUUGUGUGUUAUAGCCUUCGUCGAUACUGCCAGCCUAGACUGAGGACUGCGGUUUAUACCUAGGAUGUUGGCAUAAUGAUCUUAAGUCGCCCGUCUUGA